AUGCCUCCGGGAUGUUGUUCCUUCUGGGCACUGUGGCUACCACUGAUGCUCGCGGUGGCUGCGGCCAAGGAACAUGGGGAAGCCUGCUCGGCCAGGAAGUGCGGCAACACCACCAUCUCUCACCCGUUCUGGCUCCCCGUCUGGGACACGGGAAGGUCAUGUGGUUCCCCGGAAUUCGAGGUCAGUUGCCGUGACAACGGCACUACUCCAAUCCUACUGAACUCUGGAGCCAUCAGCUUGGGCUUUGUAAUCAUCAACAUCUUCUACGAGGAACACAGCUUGCAUGUCGUUGAUCGUGGCAAGCUGGAACUGUUGCACGCUUCUAGCAGCUGUGGAUUACCGAUGUGGAACACCUCCGUCAAGCUGGGCCCCCGGUCCUGGUUUAGGAUCGCACCCGUCAACAUGAACCUCAUCCUGUACAAUUGCACCAAGGCGGCCGGGGCGGCGGCUCUGGCACAGGAUAGGGAGCUGGUGCAGACGAGGAUGAGGUGCGGGGACGAGAGCGAGGUGUUUGCCCGCGCCGGAGGGCGUUACUAUGAGACGACCGAUUACGGCGGCGGCCACGAGGGCUGUGACGCGGCCGUCAUGCCGGUGCUGGGGACGUGGGCAGGCGAGGUGAACGCCAGCGACUACGAGCGUCUCAUCAGCGAUGGCUUCCUCUUGACAUGGCAGAGCCCCCCUACAGGUAACUUCACCCGUCAAAUCAAAUCAUCUUUUCAUCAGCGCUCCUGGCAAACUAGGACGGGUAGGGCCUUUGCUUGGAUUUCCCUUAUCCGACCGAGCUAUCAAUCAUGGCACUCACUUAUUGAGGAUAAGGCCAUAGACCCGAAGUCGUCCCUAGUCAUGGCCAAUCAACGUUAG
rnacentral:rRNA from 1 species